GUUCCUGUCGUCUAGUGGUCCAGGACACCUGGUUUUCAACCAGGCAACCGGAGUUCAAUUCUCCGCAGGAACG
rnacentral:tRNA from 1 species